rnacentral:rRNA from 1 species
CCUACGGGAGGCAGCAGUGAGGAAUAUUGGUCAAUGGACGAGAGUCUGAACCAGCCAAGUAGCGUGAAGGAUGACUGCCCUAUGGGUUGUAAACUUCUUUUAUAUGGGAAUAAAAUGUUCCACGUGUGGGAUUUUGUAUGUAACAUAUGAAUAAGGAUCGGAUAAAUCCGUGCCAGCAGCCGCGGUAAUACGGAGGAUCCGAGCGUUAUCCGGAUUUAUUGGGUUUAAAGGGAGCGUAGGUGGAUUGUUAAGUCAGUUGUGAAAGUUUGCGGCUCAACCGUAAAAUUGCAGUUGAAACUGGCAGUCUGGAGUACAGUAGAGGUGGGCGGAAUUCGUGGUGUAGCGGUGAAAUGCUUAGAUAUCACGAAGAACUCCGAUUGCGAAGGCAGCUCACUGGACUGCAACUGACACUGAGGCUCGAAAGUGUGGGUAUCAAACAGGAUUAGAUACCCCAGUAGUC